GAUCACCUGGAAUGCUCUGGCAAGCAUGAACAGUAAAUCAGAUUCGUGAUACUCUGUCUAUGCAGAAAGUGAUUUUGGAGAGAAGAGAGAGAGAGAGCUCAUAUGGAGUCUCAUGUAUUUAUAGAGUUCAGUUUUCCCUCCCAGGCAGGAUAUCUGUUAUUUUUCAAGUUCCACCACAGAGCAUUUGGACAGACAAUGACCCCAAAUUUGCACAGAUGUUUGCA